rnacentral:rRNA from 1 species
UACGGGGGGGGCAAGCGUUGUUCGGAAUUACUGGGCGUAAAGGGCUCGUAGGUGGCCAACUAAGUCAGACGUGAAAUCCCUCGGCUUAACCGGGGAACUGCGUCUGAUACUGGAUGGCUUGAGUAUGGGAGAGGGAUGUAGAAUUCCAGGUGUAGCGGUGAAAUGCGUAGAUAUCUGGAGGAAUACCGGUGGCGAAGGCGGCAUCCUGGACCAUAACUGACGCUGAGGCGCGAAAGCGUGGGGAGCAAACAGG